GUAGGAUUUCUAGCUCUUUUCAUAUUUUAUUUCUUUCUUGCACAGACAAUUAGUCAAUUACAAUCAACUUAUAUUAUCCGUAACAGUUUGAGUUGCUACAUUGAUAUUGUGUGAUAUAUCGAUAGGAACGAAACCGCCAAUUCAUUUAUACUUGUGAUUGCAACACAGGGCAAAUAUUCAUUUCAAAACAAGAGGGAUUGAAGUUGUAGAAAGUGCAUUACAAAAUCUGGAAUUAUUAAAUGCACGAAAUUCGAGAAACUUUGAUAAAAAUUCCUCUUGGGAAACACGGAAAAUUCUC